rnacentral:snoRNA from 17 species
GAGAAUGAUGAAUUUACAGACUAGAGUCUCUGAGGCUGGUCCUGAUGUCAAAAGUAAGUUCUGACUC